AAGAUCCACAUUUGGGGUUAAAGGGUAAAAAGCUGCAAAGUUGGAUAAGAUGUUGAGAUUAUGAAAUGAAGCUAAAAAUAUAUGGGAUCGAAAGAUUUUUACAAAAAUGUUAUUCAGAGCGAAGAACUCAAAUUUCAGAAUAAAGAUUUUGAUAUUAUAUUGAAAAAGUCAUACUAACAAAAAUAAUAUCCAUAUAGUACUAAUGAUACAAAAAAGUUAAACUGACGAUAAAAAAAAAAAAAUAGUCAUGUGAUCAAUUUUGGGGUGAAUUUUUUUAGAAUUUGUGAUCCAAAAGCCGUACUUACGGGAUAAAAAUUUUAUGUCAUUGCUUUUUAUUAAAACUAAUACGAUCAAUGUAUCAAAAAAGUACUAUUAUCCCAAAUUAAAGCUCCUGUGGGGAACUUUCUAUUUGAAACUCUUUUGGCGCCAGACAAAGCAAUUACUCUUCAAUUUUUGAUGAUUUGUCCUGUAGCCGAAAUAUCAGUAAAAAAAACUUUAUUUUGCAUCAUAUAUAUUGCUUUCAGAUCUGUGCUAUGGAAAAUGUAAACAAGCGUUUGACACCUUCCCGCUUCAGAAGAUUCAGGUCUAAACUGAACAGCAUUGAAAUAAAAGCUCCUAAAGCUAAUGAUCUUUUUUGCUGAUGAUGAUCAGUAAGAGGCAUCAGUAUUAAUACCAGACUCUUUCAUCACCAGUUCAAAAUCAUAAUAAUAACAAUAAUGACACAUUUUAUUUAUGGCUGCCUUUCAAAAAACUCACAUGGCACAUUUAGAAUAAGCAGCAGUUUAAGGAAUAAUUUAAUAUAUUAAUAAUUUAUACUUAAAAUCUGUAAAUGGGGUUUCAAUUUGGGUGGGGAGGUGCAGAAUGACUGAAGACUCUGGAUCCCAUAGUGGUCAAACAGGCAGUUUGUGUAGUGGGGUAAAGACCUGAGUGUGUUGGAGGGUGUUAUCAUAUGAAGAAGUUCAGAUAGGUACAGGGGUGCUUUGUUAAAGAUGGCCCAAAGGUGAGGGGCAGAAUCUUAUUCAUAAUUGAUGUUUGACUGGGCUCCAGUGAAGCUGUUGAAGAACGAGGAUGAUGUGACUGAUGGAGGGAGUUCUGGUAAUGAGUUCUGGACCAGUUGGAGUUUAUGGAUGAACUUGGGAGAAAGACCAAAGAGAAGGGACUUACAGUAAUCAAUGCCUGAUGUAAACAGGGUGUGGACAUGAACGGCUGGUAUUGUUGGGUGUGAGGUAGGGGCGGAGACAGUUAAUGUUGCACAGAUGGAAGUAUGCAGACUGAGUGACAUUACUGAUGUGGGUCUGGAAUGAUUGUGUGCUGUCAAGGAUGACACCCAGACCCCCUAACCGAGGGGGAAUUGAAGAAUUGUGGAUGUUGAGACAGAAACUGUUAGCCUUUGUUACAGUUGAGUUGGUACUAAUGAGGAGAGGCUCAGUUUUGUCACAGUGAAAUUUGAGGAAACUGUAAAAGAACCACGAUUUGAGGGUGGGAGGACUGAGGUGGGUUUGGUAGACAGGCAGAGCUGGGUGUCAUCUGUAUAGCAAUGAAAAAAAUGUUAUGUUUACAGAAAAUAUGAUCAAGGGGAGGUAGAUGAAUGAUGAACAGAAGAGGCCCCAGGACAGAAUCCUGUGGAACACCAGUCAUGACUGGAAAGGCCUUGGAUUUCAAGAUUUUGAGUUGAAUAAUCCAAGUCCAGAUAGAGAUUGGAUUUGAACAAGGACUUAAAAAACUCCUACCAGGAGCAAUAUUUGGAUUUUCUUUCAUAAACAUUGCAUCUUUUUGUAGAAAUCUACAAUUUGAACCACAUUGACCACAAGGUAAAUUAAGUACUUUAAUCACAUUAAUUUACAAGUUUAUUCUCAUAAAUGUAUGACAACUUCUUGUAAAUUUAUUAUUUAAUCCACCAAAUUUUACAAUUUUAUUCUGAUAAUCCUGUUUUAUCAUUAAUGUGGCCCUGUCCUCUGAUAAACCUUUACCCUUAAACUACUUUCAGUGUCCUUGUAAUGAAUAUCAUAUUUUUCUAUCCUGAAAGAACCCAAACUUCAGCAAAAAGCCUGUUUUUUCUUGAGAUACUAUUACUUAUUCCUUGAUGUAUCCUCAGAUCUCUUUCUGUUUGUUGAUUCGGAGUGUUACAAAAGUAACCUUUUCAGGUAAAUAAAAUGUCCUUUGUGGACUGGUUUGACGUCAACAGUUUGUCCCCCUGAUGUGUCCUGUGAUGGUCUGUAUGUUUGGGUCCUGGCCAGCACGACGUUCAAUACCUAAAUAACCAAACACUCUAGUCUGCACACAGCGGUGGUCCCGUUUUCAUGCUGCUCUAAUAACAGCAUCAGUGUAUUUUCUAACUUAGUCAACACAUUUCAACCUUCACACGGGCUAUCUGAUAGAGGAGGAAAACUGACCAGUGAGUAAAACCCUCCAAUAAAACACCAAAAAUAGUCCUUAAAGUCAUAAUCACAGCUUUUAUCUCCUUAUCAUUACUUCCACUUCUCAUAAAAACAACACAUUAUGUUAGGUUCAAAGUUUAGUGCCUGUCCAGCAUCAGGUUAACUUCAGAGGAGCUGCAGAGAUAAAGUACAAAGAGAUAAAAAAAAAAAAAAAGUAGUAAAGCGAUAAAGAACCGAGAACAACAACCUUGAACUGGGCAGAGAGAGCAGCGUAUAGCACAGGUGUUCACGUCUGUAAGUGGAAACAGGUAAAUAAUGCAGAUGUUUCUUUUGAAGAUACUUCAUGGAAGAGCAGCAAGGACAUUGACACUGUUUUAUGAAAACAAGAAGCUACAGCAGGAAAUUUCUAGUUGGACGUAGCAAAGAACAUAUUGACCCUGAUUCUAUCAGAGUCCACUGCUCAGAUAACAUGGACCCCCUCCCUCCAACCCCUGGAUAUGUCUUUAUGGGCCGGGUCAAAUUUUAUCAUGUGUGACCUCCACUUCUGCGCCAGAUAAAUGUACACAAUAACAAUUUCAAAGGAAUCAUACGUGGGUCCAGUUAACCUGAGCACGUGAGAAAUCCUCACAGUGAAAACAAAAAUCUGGUCCUCUUAAAGAUCUGCCUCACAGAAGCUUCACAUGGGUCAAAGCCAAGGCUGUCGCACUGCUGCCAGCCACAAAUAUGAACCACAAUGAGCUCAGUCCACGCCAAGUGUGUGUUAUACAGAUAUACAGCUUGGAUGAGUUUCUCUUUAAAUCCUUUGUUUAAGCUUAAGUAUCAACAUCUUCAAUUACAGCAGAAUAUAACCAAUCCCAAGUAUUCAAGUACAAGGAAAAGUCAAUUCUUAGAAGUCUCUCCCAUUUAAAUCAAUAAAUCAAUCAGUUUCUCUUUACACAGCACCAAACCACAACAAAAGUUAUCUCUGAGACUUCACAGACUGUACUUUUCUCCAGCCCCAUUUCCAUAAUGCUGAAAUAUUGAUGAAAACAUAUUUGGAUGAUUAAUCAAUCAUUUAAACACUAUACUUCAUUUAAAAACAUACAAAGACAACUAAUAAAAGCUUGAAAAUUGAACCCUUAGAUACGUGCCAGUGACAUCGAAGUUGAAAAUGAAACAAUGAAAAAGCUGAGAAACGCCAAAAACACCUUGAGGAACAUCUCCCAACUAAUGUGAUGAAUUUUCAACAAGUUAGUAACAUGACUGGGUUUGAAACGAGCAUUGAAAAGGCUGAGUCUCCCAGACAUUAAGACAAGAGGAUGUAAUGCCAUAAAACUGUAAAAUUGCAAAGAAACGGGGGAUUUCACGUACAGAACAGAACAUUAAAAGAUUCAGAGAACCUGAAGAGGUCGACAUAUAGAGGACGAGGAGAAAACCAGUAUAGGAUAGCCUCGAUCGUCAGGCUAUCAGGCAGCACUGCAUGAAAAGUAGGCAUAACUCUGUAGUGGAAUUCGCAGAAUGGGCUCAAAAUCACUCCCUUAACCAUUGGGUGUGAGUGCAGAGUUUUUCUGUUGCUAGUUACCUCCGCCAAGGAGGUUAUGUUUUUGGUAGCAUUGGUUUGUUUGUUUGUUUGUUUGUUUGUUUGUUAGCAACUUUACGGAGAAAGUUACAGACGGAUUGACCUGAAAUUUUAAUCAGAGGUGUGUCUCAGCCCCAGGAGGAUCCCAUUACAUUUUUGUGGUGAUCCGGAUCGCCUUCUGGAUCCAGGAAUUUUUUGAAGGAUUCUUUAUCAUUGUGAGAUAGGGCAAAUUUUGGAAUUUUUGCAUUUAACUCUAUAAAAAUGGCCAGAGUCUUUAGUAAAAAAUGACACAAAAGGAUCUCAAUGAGUUUUAUGAGGCGUCAAAGGUUGAUCCUGAUCCAGACAAAAUUCCGGAUACUGUGAUCUGCUUGGCGGAGGUCUGCGCUCUCUGAGUGCUUUUCUAGUUAAAGUUGGAUCAAGGAUGGAAAUCUGCCCUGUAGUCUGACCAAUAAAAAUUUGACACUCUUUUUAGAAAUCAUGGAUUCAUGUGUCCUCUCCUCCUAAAAGAGGAAGGACCAUCCUGCUUAUGAUCAGCACACAGUUUACAUCUGUGAUGGUAUGGGGAUAGAAAUAGUAUGCAUCUUGUAUUGUUAUUUAAAGAGACAACAUUACAGACAACAUUAAUCCACCAAUGAGUAAUCACUUGGCAACAGCAGGAAGAAAAAUAACUUAAAACAUGCAGAAAUCUACAGCCGGACAAGACUUAAUGACUUAUUGGUGUAGUAGUCAUACAGUCUGCAACAACAAUAACAGCAGAGUUAUAGUAACAAUAACAAAGGAAAUAUGACUAAUAUUAGUAAAUACAGCAUGUAUUAUUAUUAUGAUGUCAAAUUUUCUCGUCCAACUAAAACUGGACUUUUAAAAAAUACAUGUAAACACAUUAGUCAGACUGAAUUGCACUAUAUUGAAUUCUCAAAGUCGUACUAACAUACCUGGAUAAUACGAUCGCGGAUAAGCUCAUUUAGACUGAAACUGGCAUAAACCCAUGCCAUAGUGUUCGCACACAGAGCUUUGAGCCAGAAAUGGAACAGCACGAAUGCAGCGCAAGGAAGACGAGCAGUUAAGAAAACUUCAGCCAAAGAAAGGACGUAAGAAAGAUGAAACUGUCCUAUCAUACAGACAAAUGGUACAGAGAUGUGAAAGUGCUUUCGUUAUCAAUCAUACAUUCUUUUGGUCUCUUGCUGACGUCAAUUGUUUUCAUACGUACUAAGUUAACUGGAAAUGACCAGAUAGUAACAAACUGAAAGGGGACAUGUAGCAGAGGUGGACAUGCUUUUGUCAACAACUGUUUUCUUUUCUGCUGCUUGUAAACUGGGAAAAUCCACUAACAUUGCCUAACCAAGCUAUAACCAUAGCUUGACUUAACUGUUCAUGUGACCAUACGUGCACUGAAUGGGCUGUAGUGCAAAUUCUAAUCCCGGUCAGGGUGAGUAGGGCCCCAAUGAGAGGUGCAGGGGUUUUUCUAACCCUGACUGAUCUCUCAUGAGUGACACACUUUCUACUUCAUGAAAACUAGAUUAUCCCUUCAGGUAUUACUACCGUACUGAUGUACUCACCACUCACCACUCAACAACGUCAUAAAUAAACGAGCCUGCUUUACUCAUACUUCAGUUUGUAUAUUUUAAACACUUUUUGACAUGAAUCGGUUGUGGUCAAGAGAGUCUGAAGGCAUCAAUUAAGCUAGCACAGAAGUCAUUUUACAGUAAUGCUCUUGAAAAAGCUUAAACAUUACAGUGUUUAGUCUAUUAAUCUCCUCAUCUACACCCUCUUUUCAUCCCUCUCUCGCAGAUAUACUGUCACAUUAUUUGGCACUGUUAAUGGAUCAAAUGAUGGGACAUAAAAAUUUGAGAAUCCAGAACCACCAUAUACAGUAGAAGGAUUUUCCAGAGAGUGAACCCGCCCACCUCGAGCCCCUCUGACCUGCACAAUCGGGUUCAUUUAAUAAGAAGUGACAUGGAAUUUUCUGGCCUCUGCAAAAACUGGGUCCUCUGAGAGACCGACUUUUAAACAUGAAAAGUUUUCUGCACUGUACUGGAGUUAUGAACCUCUAACUUCCUGAUGAGACGUGGGCGAUUAAUCCUCCUCCCGUACACCCACUCAUGAAGUGAUUGAGAGGAUAGAGGGAGGAGUUUCUGUAGUGCGGCUGAGCAGGAGGAAAGUGUGAAUGGAAACUAGAGUGCAGGUGAGGUGAAGUUCCUCUCUUAGAAAGUAGAGCACACCCCUCUACGACAACUGCUGCUCUCAUUAUGCUCGAUCCCAACCUCCUCACCCCGGCCUCUGUAAACAGUUUCUUGUUCCUCCAGUAUGCAGUCAACCCCCCCUGCUCGGGCCCUUUUCACAUUCGCCUUUCUGCUGACAAAACAAACAUUGUGCCGGCUGCAACGGAUUUUCUGUCUCUGUAUCUUUCUCUGAAGGUCAAAUCAGGUUCUCCCAGAAGCAGUUACGCAUGUUUCUGGCUUCAACUCAAGAGCCACCACGCAGGAUUGAAAGUGAGAGGCUGUGAUUUCUCCAGUGGACUCAGACAGCAGAGACAGAUUUCUGGCUUUAUGAUCAUGGAAAAUAUGUAAGAUGCGGUUUUGAGUGCAUUUUAACUAUCCAUCAGCUGCAAGAAAAUGCUAGAAGCAAGCAAAAGCACACAUUUCUGUAUGGCUCUGCUGUCACUGUGGCCUGUUGGGAGAAGCUGUAUGAGUAGGGAGUAUAGUUUAGUAAAGACAAUUCAUCACCAUAACACGGUAAAAAAGAUAUGAUUUACACUAAUUCAAAAUACAGAUCUUAGUUUAGUUCAGAUUUUUUUUCACCAAAAACUGCAAAACGUGAGGAAAGUACUAAGGUAGUUGUGUGCAGAGCAGAAACCUGUGAAUGUACCGUAUGAAACCUGCACUUAAAGACAAAAUUAAGGUAAUCCAUGCAUAACAUUACCAAAACAACCCAGUCCC